rnacentral:rRNA from 1 species
GACGAACGCUGGCGGCGUGCUUAACACAUGCAAGUCGAACGGGCUCUGUCUGGCUGUGUGCUGGGUGGGGUUAGUGGCGAACGGGUGAGUAAUACGUGAGUAACCUGCCCUCUUCCUUGGGAUAAGCCUUGGAAACGGGGUCUAAUACUGGAUAUUCCUGUAUGGUCGCAUGGCUGGGUGGGGAAAGUUUUUUUCGGUGGGGGAUGGGCUCGCGGCCUAUCAGUUUGUUGGUGGGGUGAUGGCCUACCAAGGCGUAGAGGGGUAGCCGGCCUGCGAGGGUGCCCGGCGACACUGGGACUGGGUUACGGCCCAGACUGCUACGGGAGGCAGCAGUGGGUGCUAUUGCACAAUGGGCGCAAGCCUGAUGCAGCGACGCCGCGUGGGGGAUGACGGCUUUCGGGUUGUAAACCUCUUGCGUCGGGGGACAAGGCUCUGCUUGGUGGUGGGGUUGAGGGUACCCGGUGAAGAAGCGCCGGCUAACUACGUG